AUACUUACCUGGCAGAGGAAACACACAAUCAGCAGGUAGUUUUCUCAGGAUGAGGCGUGCACAUUGCACUUGGGGUAAGCUGACUCUUGUGAUUUUCUUAAAUAGGGGAAACUUGGCUGCAUGAUUUUUGAUAGUGGGGGACUGUGUGUGCACUCUCCCCUG